GCGAACGCUGGCGGCAGGCCUAAUACAUGCAAGUCGAGCGGUCCCUUCGGGGGCAGCGGCGGACGGGUGAGUAACGCGUGGGAACGUGCCCUUUGGUACGGAACAACUGAGGGAAACUUCAGCUAAUACCGUAUGUGCCCUUCGGGGGAAAGGUUUAUCGCCAUUGGAGCGGCCCGCGUUAGAUUAGCUAGUUGGUAGGGUAAUGGCCUACCAAGGCGACGAUCUAUAGCUGGUCUGAGAUGAUGAUCAGCCACACUGGGACUGAGACACGGCCCAGACUCCUACGGGAGGCAGCAGUAGGAAAUCUUGCGCAAUGGGCGAAAGCCUGACGCAGCCAUGCCGCGUGAAUGAUGAAGGUCUUAGGAUUGAAAAAUUCUUUCACCGGGGACGAUAAUGACGGUACCCGGAGAAGAAGCCCCGGCUAACUUCGUGCCAGCCGCCGCCGUAACAC
rnacentral:rRNA from 1 species